GACGAACGCUGGCGGCGUGCUUAACACAUGCAAGUCGAACGAGAAAGCACCUUCGGGUGUGAGUACAGUGGCGAACGGGUGAGUAACACGUGGGCAACCUGCCCUGGAGACUGGGAUAACGUUCCGAAAGGGACGCUAAUACCGGAUGACGCGCGAUCUGCCAAGUAGGUCGCGCCAAAUGGUAGCUUCGGCUUCUACUCUGGGAUGGGCCCGCGCCGGAUUAGCUUGUUGGUGGGGUAAUGGCUCACCAAGGCGACGAUCCGUAGCGGGUCUGAGAGGAUGAUCCGCCACACUGGAACUGAGACACGGUCCAGACACCUACGGGUGGCUG
rnacentral:rRNA from 1 species